UUUGGUGAUAAUGCUCUUAAUGGAUACACCCGUUCCCAUACCGAACACGAAGGUUAAGCAUUAAGAGGCCGAUAGUACUGCACGGGAAGCUGUGUGGGAGGGUAGGUGGUUGCCAAGU
rnacentral:rRNA from 1 species